CUUCGGCAUUCUCUUAUAAGGACGCAGGUGACCGGCCUACGUGAGAGCCCAGCGCCAUCUCAUCUUGGGACCCACAGUGGAGCUGCUUCUGCAGAGCCCUUCCCGCCCCACAGGCCACAUCACAGUUCCAGGGGUUGGGGCCUGAAAUCUGUGGGGGCACAUCCAGGCCGGUACACUGGGAGAGGCUGCCAGCUGCAGAGAUGGGCGCUUGUGGCUCAGAGGUGUCUCCCUGCCUGCCCCCAAGGCGGCCUGGACCAGACCGCCUUGCAUGACCAGAGCGGGACAAGAAGGAAGAGCCUAGCAGCCAGACAGAGCGACGUGUGGCCUGCUCCCUGGCACUGGUGCAGACCCACGUGGGAAGGGUCCGGACUGACCCACAGAGGCCUCCAAGGAGGGGAGCCCGAGUAGGAAAAUACAGACAGAGGAAGCUCAGGCAGAUUUGUUUCAGACAAACGGGUCCAGCGUGGCCCUGCCAAGGACGAUUCUGUGUCUGAACAGUAGUUCCGGUCUCCAGCAAUGGGGUUUGGGGAUUCUUCACAAGGGAGUGACUGUCCUUGCGGGUAACUGCAGACUAAGAAACCGUGGUACAGAGAGGCUCAGCAACC